rnacentral:lncRNA from 1 species
AUUCCCCGAUGUGGACCUCGGGCUAGAAAGUUUGCCCACUCCUGAUAAUAGGUUGAUCCUUAAGCAUUUUGCUAAUGGUCUCUCUUUGGAAAGACUUUUGGAAAGGAGGCGUCUUGGUGGAGAUGAAGGGUCUGAAGUUUUAAGGGAGUCUGUGUUGGGGGUUGAGCCAUAUGGAGAGGAGCUAUGCUUGUUAGCUGCUGAUUUUAUUGUUUCUCUCUGUCACCCCAUGUUAAAGGUGCAGAUUUUAAAGACGGAUCUUUCUGUUCAUGUUUUUUUUAUUAAAAUAAAGAAUAAUAAUCAAUCCUUGAACCACAUAUCUUUAUCUUUGCUUUUCAAACACAGGUUAAAGAAAAUCUUAGCAAAGAAAAAGCAGGAAUGAUAGUGAAGAUACUUCAAGAAUUUAAUUGAUUUCACCAGAACCAAGUUAAUGAAAUAUCAUCAGAUGAAAUCAUGAUACAGGAUAUAAUUAAAAUACUGGAAUCAAUUCCUCCCCAGGUGUGGGCAGACCUCAUUGAAACAUGCAAUCAAAGGUUGGAGGAAAACGAAAGGAUGCUCAGACAAAGAGAAGAAGAGAUAAAAAAGUCUGAAGAUGAGCUUCUAAACAUCCAAAAGAAAAGGAAAGGUAUUGAAGAGAGCACUGUGCAAAUGGAAGAAUUCAAAAAGGAUGGAAAUAAGCUAGAAAAUGAGAAGAAAGAGCUGGAAAGGAAGAGGGAUAACUUUAAAGAGGAGAGGGAUAAGCUUCUAAAGGAAAUGAAAAAACUAAUAUUCUUCAAAGAAAUUAUUGAGAAACCAAUUAAUGAUCCAAAGGUUAGUGGUGCAAUGUGUCUUUUUAAACAAUUAUAUUACAUGUAAAAGAAAAGAAUGA